UAUAGUUUGAGGUUACUUAGUUACUUAGGUUACUUUUAUAUAGUUUGAGGUUACUUAGUUACUUAGGUUACUUUUAUAUAGUUUGAGGUUACUUAGUUACUUAGGUUACUUUUAUAUAGUUUGAGGUGCCUUCGUUACUGUUUUAGCUCACCUGUAAUCUACUUUAUAUGUAUGUUUGUGAUCAAUCUAAACUUCUUGCGCGGUGUUGACUCAUCCGUAAGUUGCUUUCAGUAUGUUUGUGCUCUGUCUAAUACUCUGGUUUACUCACUCUAAAUUGCGUUAUUAAAAAGAUGGUUCAGCAAAAUGAUAUAGUCUCCAAUGCAAAUUUUACUGUUUGCUGCAUAGGAUUUGUUCUAAAUGGUUUUGGAUUGUUUGUUUUACUAAAGUUUCAAAAUGGUUAUAGUUUAACACAGCGGUACAUACUGAUCCAACUUUGUUUCAUCGAUUUAUGCUUAAGCGUAGUAUAUGGAUUUUAUAAUUUAAACUUAGACCACAUGAUUUUAAAUUUGCUUGAGUUAACUGUUAAUACAGGAUUUUAUUAUGCAACAUUUUGGUUGGUAUGCGACAGAUACUUACAUAUAAAAUUGAAUAUAAAAUACGUCGUCUUCUGGUCCAAAAAAAAAACUAUAAUUUCAGCUACGAUUGUAUGGAUUAUAUCUCUAUUGAGUUCAAUUUUAUUUUAUUAUAACAUUGUGCGUAACAGUGCUCUUAAUUAUGUCUGCUACGAUUUUAUUAUAAUUUGUUUUUCCACCUUUGUUUACACAUAUGCUUUAAUAAUUUUUCAUAAGCAAAAAACUAACGUUCGAUCAAACCAAAAAGGAAAAGGUAUACUUAAAGGGUUUGUCAUGACAAGUAUUUUAUUAACAAUAUUUGUACUUCUGGUUACCACACCUGACGUAAUAUGGACCUAUUAUUACUAUAGGCCUGUUUCUAAGUUCAUUUUUGUAUUUGCAAACCUACUUUUUCUUCUAUCUUUAUGGACUGAUGCAUUAGUUUAUAUAUUUGCUUCACCCUCAGUUAUAUUUUUUUUAAAAAAUCAAACACAAUGUUUGUUUAAAAAAAGAAGAACCAUUAUAAGAAGUGAGACGUGCGUUAUAAAUUUAUCGAUAAACGAAGAAAACACACGUUUUUAGCAAAACUAAGGUUAUCUAUCGUUCGGUCGGUGUAGCGAAAUGAAACACCUCAAAAAAUUAAUUUCCGAUUGAAACAUUUUAACUCCCUACUUGGUGUAGUUGUCUCAAUUUUAAAAUAUUAUAGCAUCUGUAUGAUGUUUUGCUGAUAACGACAUAUUUCCCUUGAAUGAUCAGGUUUGUGAAAAGACAAAAACAAUUAAAAUGAUAAGUUUUGCCGUAACAUAAAAUAAAAAUGUUUAUAGCAUAAAAACCCA